rnacentral:lncRNA from 1 species
AUGGGCUUGGCUCAUUGUUGAAAGCCUACAGAGACCUACAGCUGUUUAUUUCUGUGUCAUUUGGUCUCUUGUGGAGAGAUGUCUCAUUGACAAUCUUACCCCAUCUUCUGAUUUUUAUAUUAAUUACAUUUGUUGGUACAACACAUAUGCCCCAAUCAGCCUGAAUGUCAAAUGUAUACUUCUAGGAGUUCAAAUAAACAUGUUGAGUACAAGGAUUUCAAGUAUU